rnacentral:lncRNA from 1 species
CUGAUAUACUGAAAGUAUGGAUGAUAUAAAUCAAAGUGCAGAAAUACUAAUACAAUUCUGAAACAUUUUUGUAGCCAACAUAGCUUAACAUGAAAAGCCUGAGACUUUGUCUAACUAUUACUCUAGUCUAUGAAGCCUCUAAUGAAGUACUGAAAAUACUGACUAUCUGUAAAUACUGAAAGACUAUAAAGUAAUGAUAAAGCCCCGAAAGAACUGGGGAUCACCAAAUAGCUGGUACGAGAAUCCUAGCACUCUGAAUUAUCAACCUGUAAAUCAUUACCUGCAUCGUGAGAUGCAGGCCCCGGGCAAAAGGGAUGUUAGUACAUUUGAAUUGCACUGGUAUGUAAAGCAACUGAAAGAAAGAAUUAUAAAUGCUAAAACUGAAACUAAGCUGAUAACUGAGAAUUGAUAAUUAAACUAAUAACUGAUAACUGAACUGAACAAAGGAAGUUAGGAUAUGAAUACUCCCUCUUCUGAAUAAUGAACAACCUGUUUAUCUGAAUAAAUAAACUGCGGCCUCAGGCCCAAUAUAUAUAUGUGCACAACUGCGACCUCGGGCCCAAGUAUACGUAUACAUAACUGCAGCCUCAGGCCCAAAGAUGCAUAAAGCAUAAACUGCAGCCUCAGGACCAAAUACAGGUGUAAUUUAAAAUUAGGAACUGAGAAUCAUACUACAAUACAUGAUACUGAAAUGCUGAAUCACACUGAGUUAUAUAAUACUGGAAUACUAAAUAGGACUAGACUGAGACAUGUAUUCUUGAAUUGAUUAUGAACAUUGAAACUUCAACUGUUUAGACAUGCUGAGUAAGCUAUACUGACACUUAGGGACAUUAAACGCAAGUCUAUAAUGAAUACGAAAUGAGCUCACAAAGUUCAGACUGAAGGUCAUGAACGAGUUAUGAAACUAGAGAAUAGAAAUUGUACAACUAUUCAAGGAACUAGGCUUAACCAUAUUUCUGAGGCAAUUGAUAACGUGGUAAAAGAAGCAUAGUGUAGGUAGAAUCAUUAACAUUCCCAAACAUAAAGAGUUAGCCUCACAUACUUUAAAUUCCUAUCCUUGAGCGUAAUACAAUGUUUCUCAACCCUUUCAACUUUAAUCUAUAGCAAUGAUACUCAUAUUUUGGUCACUUAAGCAUUUUAUCAAACACUCGAUGAGAAAGCUUCAUAGUCCUUAUUAAUAGUGUUUCUACACUCAAUAACCCAUUCUCUUGCUUCUAGAUAAAUUCUAAAGUCUCAAAUGGUUAUAAUCAACAUCAUUCUUUAUCACCCAUAAGGUAACCAACACCCUUAACCAAUAAUCAACAAUCAACACCCCAAACCUCUAACCGUUCAUGCUUUUCUGUCAAACCCAUUAACUUAUAUCUCAUGAACCAGAGUCUAUAAUCAUUAAUCCAAUGCUAUAAUCAAUUAGAGGGUAAAGAUAUUACCUUCUUGACGUUCAAUCUUCUUGAAUUCGAGUUCUAGGGUUUCUUCUCUCAACAAUGAUGUCCCAAUCGAAUAUCUAAUGAUAUGGAGGGUUAACCCAUGUUAAUAAGAUAUUGAAAAAUUGAAAUUAACUUAGAAUCACCAUUAGAACUUACCUUGGGUAGUGGAGGGACCAUUGAUAAGUUAAGUUUUUGAGAGCUCCCCUCUUUAGAGCAAGGUUUUUGUAUUUUGGGGGUGUGGGGGACGAAGUAGGGCUUUAAAAUGACCCCCCAUAAGUGCCCCCGCGCACCUGUAGGCCUAACCGCGCACCUGACUAUGUAAAAUGGCAGUAACGCUGCCUUAGGAGUGCGGCCGCACUCAGGGCGCGCAUAUCGCACAUUGUUCUGUAAAAUGCGCAUAACCUUUUGCACAAAGAUCCGUUUGGGAUCCAAAAUGGUUUGAAAGCUAUUUCAAAGGCCUACAAUUUCUUGUUUUACAUUUUCCCAAUACCUUACAAGUUUUUCACUAAACCUCCUGCAAGACUGACCCUCUGCAAACUUCAUAGAUUUUAUCGAAUCUUGUACACCCCACUCUUCGUCUUGAUUGUAAAACAACAAUUUUCACCCAUACUCAUCCCGCUAGGACUUCAUAUGUCUAAAAUAUCAGAUUAAUACUCAUUUAACAUAUUCACACCUAGCUAGUCCAACUGUACGGGGUGUUACAAGCACUCUAACGGUGUUCAUUUUUCUUCCAAAACUUUGAGAUUUUUGUGAGGCCAAGAGUUUAUAGAUAUGAGAUUGUUUGUGGAAGAGGUGUGAUUUAGCUAUUAUCAACAAGUCGCUUAAUAUAACUUAUCACCCUAUCUUUUGGGAUUAACGACAGCUGUAGUCCAAAACUCAUUCUUUUGACAAUAAAACUGCAACCCAUUAGACUUAAAUCAUGAUAGGAUCCAGAGCUUCUCUAUCUUAAAAUUAGAGGCCCAAUACUAAACUUCAUAUGUCCCAUUACCCUUUAAAUCCUGCAGACUAAACAAAAGAAGCAAUGCAAACAAUAAAGCUUAUUUUGCAACUGCAAACAUAAAUCAUUUACCUUCAAACUAUUUUAUUUAAUAACAAAAUCUAACA